rnacentral:rRNA from 1 species
CCCGGGCCUUGUACACACCGCCCGUCAAGUCAUGAAAGUCGGUAACACCCGAAGCCGGUGGCCCAACCCAUUUGGGAGGGAGCUGUCGAAGGUGGGACUGGCGAUUAGGACU